rnacentral:rRNA from 1 species
UAACAGGAUUAGAUACCCUGGUAGUCCACGCCCUAAACGAUGUCAACUGGUUGUCGGGCCUUCAUUGGCCUGGUAACGUAGCUAACGCGUGAAGUUGACCGCCUGGGGAGUACGGUCGCAAGAUUAAAACUCAAAGGAAUUGAUGGGGACCCGCACAAGCGGUGGAUGAUGUGGUUUAAUUCGAUGCAACGCGAAAAACCUUACCUACCCUUGACAUGUCUGGAAUCCUGAAGAGAUUUGGGAGUGCUCGAAAGAGAGCCAGAACACAGGUGCUGCAUGGCCGUCGUCAGCUCGUGUCGUGAGAUGUUGGGUUAAGUCCCGCAGCGAGCGCAACCCUUGUCAUUAGUUGCUACGAAAGGGCACUCUAAUGAGACUGCCGGUGACAAACCGGAGGAAGGUGGGGAUGACGUCAGGUCAUCAUGGCCCUUAUGGGUAGGGCUACACACGUCAUACAAUGGCCGGGACAGAGGGCUGCCAACCCGCGAGGGGGAGCUAAUCCCAGAAACCCGGUCGUAGUCCGGAUCGUAGUCUGCAACUCGACUGCGUGAAGUCGGAAUCGCUAGUAAUCGCGGAUCAGCUUGCCGCGGUGAAUACGUUCCCGGGUCUUGUACACACCGCCCGUCACACCAUGGGAGCGGGUUCUGCCAGAAGUAGUUAGCCUAACCGCAAGGGGGGCGAUUACCACGGCAGGGUUCGUGACUGGGGUGAAGUCGUAACAAGGUAACCA